rnacentral:rRNA from 1 species
CGCCGCGUGUGUGAUGAAGGCUUUAUGAGUUGUAAAACACUGUCAGGGGGGAAGAACAACCCGGUCAAUAAUAAGGGCCGGGUCUGACGUACCCCCAGAGGAAGCUCCGGCUAACUCCGUGCCAGCAGCCGCGGUAAUACGGAGGGAGCAAGCGUUGUCCGGAAUCAUUGGGCGUAAAGGGCACGUAGGCGGUUCAGUAAGUCGAAUGUGAAAUCUCACGGCUUAACCGUGAAACUGCGUUUGAAACUACUGAACUUGAGUACUGGAGAGGUAUGCGGAAUUCCUGGUGUAGCGGUGGAAUGCGUGGAUAUCAGGAAGAACACCGGUGGCGAAGGCGGCAUACUGGCCAAGUACUGACGCUCAGGUGCGAAAGCGUGGGGAGCAAACGGGAUUAGAUACCCCGGUAGUCCACGCUGUAAACGAUGGGUACUAGGUUUUGGAGGUCUCAACCCCAUCAGAGCCGCAGCUAACGCAUUAAGUACCCCGCCUGGGGAGUACGGUCGCAAGGCUCAAACUCAAAGGAAUUGACGGGGGCCCGCACAAGCGGUGGAGCAUGUGCUUUAAUUCCAUGCAACGCGAAGAAACUUACCAGGGUAUGACAUGUGUCCUUCGACCUUCGGGAAAAAGUUAAUCCCUGUGAAAACCGGACAAAUCCCGCAGGUGUUGCAUGGGUUGCCCUCAACUCGUG